GAACGUACGCUGGCGGCACGCCUAACACAUGCAAGUCGAACGAAGUAGCAAUACUUAGUGGCAGACGGGUGAGUAACAUGUAGGUAUCUGCCCUUUGGCCUGGAAUAACACGAGGAAACUUGUGCUAAUACCGGAUAAGUCUUUACAGAGAAAGCUUUAUGCACCAUUGGAUGAGCCUGCACUUGAUUAGUUUGUUGGUGGGGUAAUGGCCUACCAAGACUGUGAUCAAUAGCUGAUUUGAGAGGAUGAUCAGCCACAUUGGGACUGAGACACGGCCCAAACUCCUACGGGAGGCAGCAGUGGGGAAUCUUGCACAAUGGAGGAAACUCUGAUGCAGCGAUGCCGCGUGAGUGAAGAAGGCCUUUGGGUUGUAAAGCUCUUUCGUCGGGGAAGAAAAUGACUGUACCCGAAUAAGAAGGUCCGGCUAACUUCGUGCCAGCAGCCGCGGUAAUACGAAGGGACCUAGCGUAGUUCGGAAUUACUGGGCUUAAAGAGUUCGUAGGUGGUUGAAAAAGUUAGUGGUGAAAUCCCAGAGCUUAACUCUGGAACUGCCAUUAAAACUUUUUAGCUAGAGUAUGAUAGAGGAAAGCAGAAUUUCUAGUGUAGAGGUGAAAUUCGUAGAUAUUAGAAAGAAUACCAAUUGCGAAAGGCAGCUUUCUGGAUCAUUACUGACACUGAGGAACGAAAGCAUGGGUAGCGAAGAGGAUUAGAUACCCUCGUAGUCCAUGCCGUAAACGAUGUGUGUUAGACGUUGGAAAUUUAUUUUCAGUGUCGCAGCGAAAGCGAUAAACACACCGCCUGGGGAGUACGACCGCAAGGUUAAAACUCAAAUGAAUUGACGGGGACCCGCACAAGUAGUGGAGCAUGUGGUUUAAUUCGAAGAUACGCGCAGAACCUUACCAACACUUGACAUGUUCGUCGCGACUCUAAGAGAUUAGAGUUUUCGGUUCGGCCGGACGAAACACAGGUGCUGCAUGGCUGUCGUCAGCUCGUGUCGUGAGAUGUUGGGUUAAGUCCCGCAACGAGCGCAACCCUCACUUUUAGUUGCCAUCAUUAAGUUGGGCACUCUGAAAGAACUGCCAGUGAUAAGCUGGAGGAAGGUGGGGAUGACGUCAAGUCCUCAUGGCCCUUACGUGUUGGGCUACACACGUGCUACAAUGGUAUCUACAACAGGAAGCAAGACUGCGAAGUUAAGCAAAUCCCUAAAAGAUACCUCAGUUCGGAUUGCACUCUGCAACUCGAGUGCAUGAAGCUGGAAUUACUAGUAAUCGUGGAUCAGCGUGCCACGGUGAAUGCGUUCCCGGGUCUUGUACACACCGCCC
rnacentral:rRNA from 1 species